AGUAAUUAGUAACCCAAACUAAAUUAUACCUUGAAAUACCUACUGCUGAUGUUUCUUUGCUCUCAACAAGGGUCUUUAGAAACACUAUCACUGUAACAUUCAGUGCACUUUAAUACUUUGUUCCCUUUUAAAAAGUGAGCUGAAUCCUACAUACUGGUGUGACCAGAGAGGCGUACUUUACACAGAGGAUGGCACCAUCAACCCUCAAGUGGCCCGUGCAAAACACAAGGUUUCCCAGUGCAGCAAGAGCCUGGAGUAUAUUUCAAGCAAUAAAAUGGACUGCCGGUAGCAAAAGGAGAAUUCGUCGAUGGAGAAGUCCCGGAUGGAGAAAGGCCUCGUCUUUACAUGAGCGGAUCUGCGUUCCCACGAGUUCAGAGUUGGUGGCGAGUAUUCUGGCGCUCUCUUCGUUAAGAUUCACCCCAGCCAUGGAGGCAACAUCAUUGAUGUCAUCAUCAUCCCUGUAAU